rnacentral:sRNA from 1 species
CGCAUUGCAGAGGUCUCCCUUGCAGCAGAUCUGCGAGUCCACGAUGGCACUUAGCCUGCCCUCUGCCCUGGCACCCCAGGGACUCACUGCCAAAGAUGCUCACUUUCUGGGAGACACAGACCCCAUCUAGGAAGGGGCAUGAGACCAUGCUGCAGGAGGCCCCUUCUGAGACCGCCAAGCAUCCGUAGCAGUGCAGACCCUCAGCUGGGAGAAAGGGCAAGAAAACACACCCCUGGUGGAGAUUUAAGACGCUAAUGACACAUGCGACGUAUGAGCAAGCAGGUGCAGCUACUGCGUGUGUGUACCCAGAGGACCCCCCCCCCAGAACAUGCUUCCUAGCAACGCCUCUGCCCACCCGCUGUGAGUAAUCAUGGAAGACUCCCAUGGAGGAGCCUCCCUGGUGCCGGUCUCUGCUGUCUCGCCCUUACGAGCAGCCGGCCCUGAAUCCUCUCUCUCAGGAGGUCCUAUCUCUUCUGCAUCGAACUUUCAAAAUAUUCUUUCUCCUUUGCAAUACAUUGCUCUGUGCUGCA